UACAGAGGUCUCAAGCGUUGUUCGGAUUCAUUGGGCGUAAAGGGUGCGUAGGUGGCGUCGUAAGUCGGGUGUGAAAUCUCGGGGCUUAACUCCGAAACUGCAUUCGAUACUGCGGUGCUUGAGGACUGGAGAGGAGACUGGAAUUUACGGUGUAGCAGUGAAAUGCGUAGAGAUCGUAAGGAAGACCAGUGGCGAAGGCGGGUCUCGUGGACAGUUCCUGACACUGAGGCACGGAAGGCCAGGGGAGCAAACGGG
rnacentral:rRNA from 1 species